rnacentral:sRNA from 1 species
ACUAACUGUGAUUCACGCGCCAAUAGA